rnacentral:lncRNA from 1 species
CUAUCCCUAACCCGCUCUCGUCUCCCUCGGACGCAGCCGGCCGCCGAAUCGAAUCCCGCCCGCGGGCUCAUCUGCCUCGCCAUGGCCGAUGAACGCGUCGGCUGCGGCCGUGUCCCUCUCCCAACGGCGGCGUUGAUGGAGGGAGCAGCUGGCGGUGGCCAAGCUGCCGAUCGAUGGACGCGCCGGGCGUCACUCCUCGGGUCCAGCCCCUCCCGCUCCCUGCAUCUCUCCCUGUCUCCUCCACGAGCUGCACGGUGCGCAUCCCUCCUUCCCGCAUGCUUCUCCUCUCCCUCCCCAAAUCGCCAUGAAUCUCGCGCUGUUGGAGCCCCUCCCCUCCUUCCCCAAUCCGCCGUGGAUCUUGUGCUGCUAGAGUUCCUCCUCUCCCUUCCCUGGCUGCCAUGGAUCUCGCAGCCGCCGCCGCCGCCGCCGCCGCAUGAAGCCCCACAUCCCCAAGCUCGACGGGCUUGGCAGCCGACAACGGGCAAACCCACCACACGUCUCACAAUCCCCAAGCCCCUAUCUUCUCCUCCCCCCUCACGGCUACACUGAUGCGGUCUCCUUUUGUAGGAAGUACGUACAUGCAUCCUUGUGAGGAAGAUUGAUCGGGAUGGAGAAAUCAGGCGACGCGGAACCACACCAAGCUCCAAUACUAUCGCCUCGUGUGUUGCCUGCUCCACCUCCUUACGGAUAUGCUGCUUCUUAUCAUGUCCCAGCCGCUGGUGUCCACACUGUCCCUUGACUCUAUCUAAAGCGAGGCAGACCUUGGCUACAAGCCUCGGUCCAGCGCACGAGUGUUCGUCCUGAUUCUUCUAACUGACGAAGCUUUUGUCGAUCUUACUAUUUUCAGGUGCGACCAAUCCAAGUGUUCAUCCAUUCUGGUCUAUUUCUUUGGAUAAUUUAUGGAGGCCGUGGUUCUGGUAUUUGUAUGUAUUCGCAAAUUGUUCACAAGGCCUGGUUAGUAUCUUGGACUGCAAAAGCACAUCUCUUAGUUCUUUAAUAUGCAAUUACUUAGAUUUUAUUGUCCUAAAUGUAUGUAUCCUUAAUGCCAUGGUUUGUUACUUAUGGUUGUUGUCAAAGGAGGAAAUAAUAGGGAGGAUUGGAGAUGCACUGGGCAUGCCAUGGCAACGAAACAAAAGCUUAUUACUUCAAUUCAAUUAUGCAAGCUGAAGGUACAAACUAUUAACUCCGAUCUUCUAAUGCUUCCUUUCUUUUUUUUUUAAUGUGGUUUGGCUCGACAAACAAUAUUUCUUUGUGGCAUACUGCACUAGCUCUAAUUUGAGUACUUCAAUUCAACUUAAAGUAGCUUAUUU